GACACACACACACCGCUCUGCGUCCUCACGCAGCCUUAUUCCGGGCUAAUUCUGAGAUGGGGGCAAAGCAAAACAAUAGCAAGUAACUUUGCACCUUGGUAAACGCAUGUUGCACAGCAGGGGAAUACCUGAAAAAUUGGAGAACUUCUGUUCAGGAGAGAAGUCACACAGACCAGCCGCCCAGACAGGCCUCACACAAGUCAGGAUGAUGCCGGUAUUGCAGGU